GAAGAAGAAGAAGAAGAAGAAGGAGAUGAGCAAGGGAGGAAGAAGAAGGAAGGAAGCAUGGUUCUCCUACCAAGUAAGGAGAAGAACCAAGAGGUGAUGACACAACGCAACAUGAGGCCAUCAGCUAUCCAUCAUCACCUACGACUCGAGAUGUGGAUUCAAAGAACCCUUCAAAGACUAUGGCUGAGGAGUAGGCCCUCUACGGAGGUGACCUCUGGGACAAGGAGUUGGUUAUACACAAGGAUAGUUGUGUAU